CGCGUAGGCGGUUCUCCAAGUCAGGGGUGAAAUCCUGCGGCUUAACCGUAGAAGUGCCUUUGAUACUGGAGAUCUUGAGGGAGGUAGGGGUCCGUGGAACUUCUGGUGGAGCGGUGAAAUGCGUUGAUAUCAGAAGGAACGCCGGUGGCGAAAGCGACGGACUGGAUCUCUUCUGACGCUGAGGCGCGAAAGCUAGGGGAGCAAACG
rnacentral:rRNA from 1 species